rnacentral:rRNA from 1 species
AUUGAACGCUGGCGGAAUGCUUUACACAUGCAAGUCGAACGGCAGCACGGACUUCGGUCUGGUGGCGAGUGGCGAACGGGUGAGUAAUGUAUCGGAACGUGCCCAGUCGUGGGGGAUAACGUAGUGAAAAUUACGCUAAUACCGCAUACGAUCUAUGGAUGAAAGCGGGGGAUCGCAAGACCUCGCGCGAUUGGAGCGGCCGAUAUCAGAUUAGGUAGUUGGUGGGGUAAAGGCCCACCAAGCCAACGAUCUGUAGCUGGUCUGAGAGGACGCACAGCCACACUGGAACUGAGACACGGUCCAGACUCCUACGGGAGGCAGCAGUGGGGAAUUUUGGACAAUGGGCGAAAGCCUGAUCCAGCCAUUCCGCGUGCAGGAUGAAGGCCCUCGGGUUGUAAACUGCUUUUGUACAGAACGAAAAGGUUUCUACUAAUACUAGGAGCUCAUGACGGUACUGUAAGAAUAAGCACCGGCUAACUACGUGCCAGCCGCCGCAGUAA